GAUGAACGCUAGCGAUAGGCCUAACACAUGCAAGUCGAGGGGCAUCACAUGAAGUAGCAAUACGGAUGGUGGCGACCGGCGCACGGGUGAGUAACACGUAUGCAACCUGCCUUCAACAAGGGGAUAACCCGUUGAAAGACGGACUAAUACCCUAUAACACAGGGGUCCCGCAUGGGAAUAUUUGUUAAAGGACAACCGGUUGAAGAUGGGCAUGCGUAUCAUUAGCUAGUUGGUGUGGUAACGGCAUACCAAGGCAACGAUGAUUCGGGGUCCUGAGAGGGAGAUCCCCCACACUGGUACUGAGACACGGACCAGACUCCUACGGGAGGCAGCAGUGAGGAAUAUUGGUCAAUGGGGGCAACCCUGAUCCAGCCAUGCCGCGUGAGUGAAGAAGGCCUUCGGUUGUAAGACUCUUUCGGACGGAAAGAAAUACGCCGCCUCUAACAUAGGCGGUGGAUGACGGUACCGUA
rnacentral:rRNA from 1 species